UCCAGCAUUUUGUGUGUGUUGAAGGGAGUACUUCUGAUGACAAUCAAAUCAAAGACCUGCUAGUGAAUUGCUCAGAUUUCAGUGCUUUUUUGAAGACCCCGACCUGGAGUUACACGUUGACUUUGGUUCUUUGUGGGAAUAGGACCCGCUCCCAGUGCCUGCUGUUGUAUAUGCCGAGGACACGGCCUAGAAGGCUAGCACAGCUUUAAGGUUUUUUUUGAAGACCCUGACCUGGAGUUACAUGCGAACUUCGGUUCUUUGUGGAAAUGGGACCCAUUCUUGGGGUUUCAUGACUGGCCGUUAUGGGAUAUGCCAAGGGUUCGU